UCUUGACGACGACUUUGGGACUCUUUGGCAAAUCGAAGAGUGGAGUUUGAAAGAAGUUUAGAUAGGGUUUCUAUGGGCGGUGAUUUUGGAUGAUUUGGAAUUGAGAUGACUUUGUAAGAGCUUUGCAAAGUCAAAGUUUGUUUUGGAUGACUUAGAUUUUAUGAAAUAAAACAGGGUUUAUGUUUUGGAUAAUUUCAAGUGUUUUGUAAUAAAUCUAUUAAUGAAAUUUUGUGAGUUUAUGGUUAUAGUUGUGUUUAAUAUGUGUUGUGAAUUUGAGCUUGAUCUUAUGGUUGAAUUGAGGGAUAUUGAGGUUUAAGUGGGUCAAGGUCUCAAAAAGUAGAAUUUUAGAUCUAGUAGGGGUUUUUAAGAUUUCUUGCAAUCUAUUAGUUGGAUUAGAGUGAAACU
rnacentral:lncRNA from 1 species